GAUGAACGCUGGCGGCGUGCUUAACACAUGCAAGUCGAACGGAAAGGCCCAAGCUUGCUUGGGUACUCGAGUGGCGAACGGGUGAGUAACACGUGGGUGAUCUGCCCUGCACUUCGGGAUAAGCCUGGGAAACUGGGUCUAAUACCGGAUAGGACCACAUUUUGGAUGGUGUGGUGGAAAGUUUUUCGUUGUGGGAUGAGCUCGCGGCCUAUCAGCUUGUUGGUGGGGUAAUGGCCUACCAAGGCGUCGACGGGUAGCCGGCCUGAGAGGGUGUACGGCCACAUUGGGACUGAGAUACGGCCCAGACUCCUACGGGAGGCAGCAGUGGGGAAUAUUGCACAAUGGGCGCAAGCCUGAUGCAGCGACGCCGCGUGGGGGAUGACGGCCUUCGGGUUGUAAACUCCUUUCGCUAGGGACGAAGCGCAAGUGACGGUACCUGGAGAAGAAGCACCGGCUAACUACGUG
rnacentral:rRNA from 1 species